GAUCGCCGAGUGACGCGGAAACCCAGUGACAGCAAGUGGGUGCUAGUACCGAAAAUUUCCUCCGACGAGAUGACGUGACUGCCCGGGAGGGCUGGAGGAAGCUUGUAUGAAAUAGCUCGGCAAAGUUGCCGGAUCUGGUUAUGCCUCCUGUACGAGACGGAUCACAAAGCGGUUCCUGACUGACCAGUUGGGGCAAAAAGUUUUGUGGGAAGGACAAAGGAAAUUUGACAUUCAGGAAUCUUCACCUUGCUGAGUGCAUCAUAAAUGCAGUGCGGAGCUGCCAUAAAUGUGAAGACUUCAGGGUAGAAACCAUAGUCACGGAUUAACUUUGCCACGCACCCGCCUCACAUCGGUCAUCUCAAAAGGAACAUUCUGCACCACAGGAGAGAGCGAUGUGAACUGCCUUAAGUGGGCCUUGAAUGCACUGAGCUUUUCAUUAUGUUUAUCAGAAAUUUUUUUUAAGCAAAGUAUCCUGCAUUGUUCAGUAAGUAUACUUUAUUUUGAAAACCUUAUGCUAUGUAUGCAGCAUUGUUCAAAUAUUAUACUUUAUUUUAAAAACAUCAAGCACUGCUCGUAUGUCUAACAGUAAUAAUAAAGAGUU